rnacentral:misc_RNA from 1 species
AAAAUGCAAGCCUGCUAGCUAAAAAGCUCAAACAUUUUGUCAACUUCGUCACUAUGGUUACAUUACAUGGGAUGUCAUGGUAUGUAUGAAGCACAUUACUUUUAUCACCGCACAUAAAAACUUCAUCCUAUUCUAAAUUCACUGGAAACCAAAAGAACAGUGUGAAUACACUAGGAACCCUGCAAUCUAGACAUUAUUUGAUCGUACAAUAAAAUAAUCUGUAUCUGAAGCCAUGAUUCUUCAUCCAUAGUAAUAUAUUAACUAUCUGCAGAAGCAGAAGACAGUUGCCGGCGAGCUUGAGCAGUGAAACCAGCAAACCAAGCAACUCUCAUGAGUUGAAUACCCAGGAUCAGGAUCCACCAACAUACGAGCCCCCUAAGCAUAUGCAUCAUCCACGCCGGUGCACUGAGCUCAGCUCCAAGCUUCAACCCCCUCAUCAGCUGUAACACACGAUAUGCCUCGUAUACAACUGGAGUUGCCAACCACACUGGUGACUGCCAAUGCCAAGUCAGCAUCUCAGUCAGAAUCUGUACAGAUAGAAGCAGGAGGUAGGGACCCAACAAAACUGUAAACGAGAUAAAAGGCAGCUGUGGUUGGAGGGAGCCUUUUUGGGAUCCCAACAGCAUCAACAAAGGAAUGACAAGUCCAGACACAGAUGCAACCAUGUUCCACAAUUUGUAACUGAAAGGAGGCUUGCUAUUGCUGGCUUGUGCCAUCUUUUUUGGCCGGGAACAAGCGUCAGCCAUGAGAAGAAAAAGAGUAGCACCAAUAUUGAAGAUGCAAUCCAGUCCAAUCAAGGAAAGCAGGCUGGCUAUAUUGGGGCCUAGGAAUAUAGAAGAAAGUGGUAGCCAUAAUGUGGGCACCAUGCCAGUGGUGAGAAGAAGAGAAGGACCCAGGAGCCACAUAGGCCAUUUAAGAAACUGAAACUGCACCAAUUGCUUAUUCUUGGUAUCCGCACACUCUUCACUGGUGGCUGUUGGUGCUUCAGUUCUGUCAUUGGAAUGAAGAGUUUCAAAUAUGUUGCUACUUUUCUCCAAGAAGCUACCAGCAGCAUCAUCAGUGGGAGCAUACGUGACUGGUGAAGGCUCCCAUGGAGUUAAUUUUGUGCAGCAAACAGGAGUAUGAUUAAUCCAAAUUUUAGGGAAGUUAACAACAUGG